rnacentral:rRNA from 1 species
CCCCUAGAUGUUCUGGGCCGCACGCGCGCUACACUGAACAGUUCAACAAGUCUUAACCUUGGCCGAUAGGUCUGGGUAAUCUUUGAACGCUGUUCGUGAUUGGGAUAGACCUUUGCAAUUAUGGGUCUUCAACGAGGAAUUCCUAGUAAACGCAAGUCAUCAGCUUGCAUUGAUUACGUCCCUGCCCUUUGUACACACCGCCCGUCGCACCUACCGAUUGAAUGGUCCGGUGAAAUCUCGGGACGGCGGCUUGGUCGCUUGCGUCCGACUGUUGAAACUUGAUUAAACCAUAUCAUUUAGAGGAAGGUGAAGUCGUAACA